CUCUCAUCGCAUGGUGGGGGUUGGAAAGAUUUUUCGGUUUGGGAUGGGCUCGCGGCCUAUCAGCUUGUUGGUGAGGUAAUGGCUCACCAAGGCGUCGACGGGUAGCCGGCCUGAGAGGGUGACCGGCCACACUGGGACUGAGACACGGCCCAGACUCCUACGGGAGGCAGCAGUGGGGAAUAUUGCACAAUGGGCGCAAGCCUGAUGCAGCAACGCCGCGUGAGGGAUGACGGCCUUCGGGUUGUAAACCUCUUUUGGUAGGGAAGAAGCCUUCGGGUGACGGUACCUGCAGAAAAAGCGCCGGCUAACUACGUGCCAGCAGCCGCGGUAAUACGUAGGGCGCAAGCGUUAUCCGGAAUUAUUGGGCGUAAAGAGCUCGUAGGCGGUCUGUCGCGUCUGCUGUGAAAUUCCGAGGCUCAACCUCGGGCUUGCAGUGGGUACGGGCAGACUAGAGUGCGGUAGGGGAGAUUGGAAUUCCUGGUGUAGCGGUGGAAUGCGCAGAUAUCAGGAGGAACACCGAUGGCGAAGGCAGAUCUCUGGGCCGUUACUGACGCUGAGGAGCGAAAGGGUGGGGAGCAAACAGGCUUAGAUACCCUGGUAGUCCACCCCGUAAACGUUGGGAACUAGUUGUGGGGUCCUUUCCACGGAUUCCGUGACGUAGCUAACGCAUUAAGUUCCCCGCCUGGGGAGUACGGCCGCAAGGCUAAAACUCAAAGGAAUUGACGGGGACCCGCACAAGCGGCGGAGCAUGCGGAUUAAUUCGAUGCAACGCGAAGAACCUUACCAAGGCUUGACAUACGCCAGAACGGGCCAGAAAUGGUCAACUCUUUGGACACUGGUGAACAGGUGGUGCAUGGUUGUCGUCAGCUCGUGUCGUGAGAUGUUGGGUUAAGUCCCGCAACGAGCGCAACCCUCGUUCUAUGUUGCCAGCACGUUAUGGUGGGAACUCAUGGGAUACUGCCGGGGUCAACUCGGAGGAAGGUGGGGAUGACGUCAAAUCAUCAUGCCCCUUAUGUCUUGGGCUUCACGCAUGCUACAAUGGCCGGUACAAUGGGCUGCGAUACCGCGAGGUGGAGCGAAUCCCAAAAAGCCGGUCCCAGUUCGGAUUGAGGUCUGCAACUCGACCUCAUGAAGUCGGAGU
rnacentral:rRNA from 1 species